GGAGAGGACGACGGCCGGCGGGGGGGAGGAGGCGGCCCUAGCGCCAUUUUGUGGGAACGUAGAGGUAGCUGGGCUGCUCUCGGAUCCCUCGCUGCUUCAGUUUCGGAGUCGCGCUUCCUAGCAGCGGCCUAGCGGAGAAGUAAGAAAAGAUGUCUGAAUAUAUUCGGGUAACGGAAGAUGAGAAUGAUGAGCCCAUUGAAAUACCAUCAGAAGAUGAUGGGACAGUGCUGCUGUCCACAGUUACAGCCCAGUUUCCAGGGGCAUGUGGGCUGCGCUACAGGAAUCCAGUGACCCAGUGUAUGAGAGGUGUUCGCCUAGUAGAAGGAAUUCUGCAUGCCCCUGAUGCUGGUUGGGGAAACCUGGUAUACGUUGUCAACUAUCCCAAAGAUAACAAAAGGAAAAUGGAUGAGACAGAUGCUUCAUCGGCAGUGAAAGUGAAAAGAGCAGUCCAAAAAACAUCUGAUUUAAUAGUAUUGGGUCUCCCGUGGAAAACAACCGAACAGGACCUGAAAGAGUAUUUUAGUACCUUUGGAGAAGUUCUUAUGGUGCAGGUCAAGAAAGAUAUUAAAACUGGUCAUUCAAAAGGGUUUGGCUUUGUACGAUUUACAGAAUAUGAAACCCAGGUGAAAGUAAUGUCACAGCGACAUAUGAUAGACGGACGAUGGUGUGACUGUAAACUCCCCAAUUCUAAGCAAAGCCCGGAUGAGCCUUUGAGAAGCAGAAAGGUGUUUGUUGGGCGCUGUACGGAGGACAUGACUGCUGAUGAGCUGCAGCAGUUCUUCUGUCAGUAUGGAGAAGUGGUAGAUGUCUUCAUUCCCAAACCAUUCAGGGCUUUUGCCUUUGUUACAUUUGCAGAUGAUCAGGUUGCCCAGUCUCUUUGUGGAGAGGACUUGAUCAUUAAAGGAAUCAGCGUGCAUAUAUCCAAUGCUGAACCUAAGCACAAUAGCAAUAGGCAGUUAGAGAGAAGUGGAAGAUUUGGUGGUAAUCCAGUUCAUCUCAUUUCAAAUGUUUAUGGAAGAAGCACUUCAUUGAAAGUAGUGCUGUAAAUAUUCUGCCAUAGGAAUGCUUCUGUCUACAUGCUUUCUCAUUCAAGAAUUCGUCAUCACGCUGCACAGGCUGCGUCUUUGACGCCCUGAAUGCAAAGAAUUCAUAGCAGUUAAUUCCCCUUUUUUGACCCUUUUGAGAUGGAACUUUCAUAAAGUUUCUUGGCAGUAGUUUAUUUUGCUUCAAAUAAACUUAUUUGAAAAGUUGUCUCAAGUCAAAUGGAUUCAUCACCUGUCAUGCAUUGACACCUGAUACCCAGACUUAAUUGCUAUUUGUUCUUGCAUUGUCCAAAGUGAAAAGUUUUUCUUUUUUUCUUUUUUCUUUUUUUAAUCUAGUUUUUAAUAAGUCUGGGUGACCGCACCUAAAAUGGUAAGCAGUACCCUCCAGCUUUUUCUUAGUGCCUCUGUGCAUUUGGGUGAUGUUCUAUUUACAUGGCCUGUAUAAAUCUCCAUUGGGAAAUGCCUUCUAAAAAUAUUCUUGUUUGGGAGAGUGGGCAAAACAUUAUUUUCAAAUGCUUUGUAGCAAAGCCUAUCAAUUGAAAAGAAGGGACUAUCAGUACCUUUCUGUUUGGGAUUGAAAAGUGGAAUUAAUUGCAAUAGGGAUAAAGUAGAAGAAACCACAAAUUACCUUGUGCCUGAAAUCCAUUAAGAAGCCUGAUAGCUUUAAGAACCAGUAGGGUGGGUUGUCUGUCUGUGGAAGUGUUAAGUGAAGUGGGCUUUGCCCUCCAAGGGAGGGAAGUAUAAUAAUGUUGAAUAAACUCGCUUACAGAACUCAGAUUAGACUCUCACAAUGCAUUGUUAAGAAUGUAAAAGCAAUAAUAUAUAUUGAUUCUUUAUUGUACUUUUAUGUAAAUGCUAAUCCUGUGAGAAUUAAGGAUCUCGUUUUCUAACUGGAAGAAUGUGACAGUUUUUGUGUUGGUAGUUUACCUGAUGCCCUUACCUACUUAGAUUACCAUAAAUAGGUUUGUCAUUUUGCAAGUUGAGUGUUUUAAACAUUUAUAAAUGAAAUCAUCCUUUAGACUGUGAUUGCCACAUUGUUUUGUUAUGCAGUUUCCUCUGUAAAAGGAUCUUGAGUUGUUUUAAUAUUUUUCUGCAUCUGAAUCUGCAUGAUUUCCAAACCCUGUACCAUCUGAAUUUUGCAUUUUAGCACUUGCACUAUUACUCAGCAGCAGUAACAUGGUAACACUUAAAAUGGUAUUCGGGGACCUCCAAAGACUAAACUGACAAGCCUUCAAGGAGCCCAGGGGUAAGUUAACUUAUCGAUGGCAUGGUUUUAAUACCUUAUUUACACUUGUUAAAGCUAGUUGCUGGUCAUAGAAGGCUUUCAAUGUUGAGUAGCCUUUUAUUUAACAUGUUUAUGAUACUACAUAGUGGGUAGUUAUUCUACCCUUAAAAAAAAAAUUAAAGUUUAGAAGUACUUAAACUAUUUGGCAAAGAUUUGUUUUUAAAAGUCUUAUUUGGUCAUCUAAAUGCAUUCAUUCUAAAAAUUUUUUUGAACCACAGUUGAAUAAAAAUUUUAUUGUCACCACAGUUUAGUGUCUGGAGUCUUACUGGAAAAACAUGAUUUCUUUUUCCUAUGUGACAAAGAUGCUGGAAAGUUACCUUUAAAAAGUGAUUAUCAAGAAAUUACACUUUAUAUGAACAAGAGAAAUUAGACCUAAAGUCAAGAGUGAAUUUUCAUAUAAUGUUAACUAACUAUAUUGAAAAACUUAAUUAAAUAUUUACUGUUAAAUUUUUUAAGGAAGAAGGCUGGGGAUGUUACUCCGGCAGAGCAUUUGCCUCACAUGCAUGAAGCUCUCGGUUCAGUCUCCAGCAGUGCAAAAUAAAUAAAUAAAUAAAUAAAAAGUUUUAGGGAUAGCCAACUAAAAUUAAAUUUUAAGGUUAAAUCAGCACCUGUAUUUCCGUAGUAGGAACAGUAGGAAGUUACACAGUAAUUCAGUUGCAUCUGAUAAUUAGAAUUUUUAUUAUUACACACAGGAGAGUAUCUCUGAAUUGAAUAAUAGAACUGUCUACUCAGCUAUGGUAGAAUUUGUCUAUUGUUAAGCUUACCUGUGCCCGAAAAUUUUGUGUUCAGUUAAGGAAAAGGGGGAAAAAAAAAAAAAAACUUCAGAUUUAUCUAUAAUAUGACCACUUGUUUCUAGUACAUUUCAUUUUGUGGAAAUACCAGAUUUUAUUUAGACAGUAUUCUGAAGUUGAACAUUAUUUAGGUUAUUUCCAAUUGCUAGGAACAUCUUAUCUACCUGGGGGAAAAAUGAUUUUUCAAAGUUGCUCCCCUAAAACCCAUAGUCCUAUAAUAUAUAAAGCACUCUUUGAGAUCAGUAAGAACAAGUGGAAAAUAGACAAGCAAUUUGCAGAAAUGCAAACAACUAGUAUGAAAAGGUGGGCUUUGUAAGUAAAUGCAUCUUAAGCAGUGAGUUAUAUUGGGGUGGUGAAGGUGAAUGUCAUUGUAAUACUGUGAUGGUUUAUGUCCCCUUCAAUCAACAAGUAAGGGUGGCAUUAUACUAUUAAAUGGAUUAGUACCUGUAACAGUGUCACCUGGAGUUUGGGUUAUUUUGUGUGUGUGGUGGCGGGGGGGCGGUAGCUGCUAUGUCACAUUACUGCUAAGAUCUUUUACAAGGUUCUAAAAAUGACUCAUUUACUGAUUGAACACAUGCAAAUUAUUAAUUAUGUUCUCAAUCCAGGGAAUAUAGUUAAUGACUUUCGUGUACACCCCAUACUGACCUGCUUCCCCACAAUUAACAGAACCCCAAGACACUAAUCCCCCUACAAACCAAGUCUCUGUCUUGUUGUCUAGAAAUACUAGUGCCCCUCCACUGUCACCUCUGCAGCUAUCCUUGCCUCCAGUUUCUAAGCCAGCACAAAGCAUGUUAUCAGUUACCCUUCCCCCUGGAUACUGCUUUUCAUAGGCAGCAGUACAUUUUUGAUGGUCAGCAAUUGGUAUGUCGACAAACAUUAGAUUUCUAGCAAGAAAACCCCUUUGGGUUAAUCCCCAACCAGAUGCUGUUCCAAUGUCAUUUGUCCUUAUCAAAAAUUCAGCUUCUUUUCCUGGCAGACAAAUAGGCAUGAUGUUGCUAUUGAUUACAACUUUGUUCUUCAAUUUAAUCAGUGCUAUGUCAUUGUCGAAACCAGCCUCAUGAGUGUAACCUUCAUGUAUAAAAACAGCCUCAGCCCAGGCUUUUGUGUAGUUAUGCGAUAGUCUAUUCAGGAUGCCCAUUCGAAUGUCCAGGGAAGAUACCUCUUCUUUUUGCCCAUAUAUGGCGUGAGCAGCUGUUAGAAUCCAGUUGUCAUAUAAAAGUGCACCUGCUGCUGUAGUUUGACCUAGUAACAGGACUUGCCAGGGGAAAUCACCAGGCUGUGCCCUUUGCCCUCCAUAUAUACGACCUCUUGUAGUCCGGGCUGAUAGUCCACACACUGGGGAAGAAGCAGUGAGAGAGACUUUGUAAAAAUCCAGUGGGGCUUUUUUUCCAAGUUUUUACCACUUUGGUGGUGGUUGUGUGUUUAAUGUCAGCCAAAAAUUAGGUCCUACAAGUAGGAGUGUUUCCUUACAUAGGUGCGUAAGACUAUUCUAAAAUAGCACAAUUCAAAGUUGUAAAUAAUUUUGGUAUUUCUUAGUUCCUCAGGAAAUUGUGAGUGAAAUUUAAAUUUUGGAAAUAAUUUUUUUUUUUUUACUAAAAGAAUUUGGUCUAUAAGAUUUGGGGAGCUGUGUGCAGUGCACAUGCCUAGAAUCUCAGCAACUCAGGAGAUCCAAGACUAGCCUGAGCAGCUUCACCCCUGUCUCAGAAAAUAAAAAGGGCUGGGAUGUGUCUCAAUGGGAGAGUGCCCCAGGUUCCAUCCCAGUACCAUCCAGGACCCUUCGGGUCAGAAGUUAUUAUUUGUGGUCUGGUUGAUUCUUCCAAACACUGAAUCUUACUGUGUCCUUAUUGCAGAUUAAUUAUGCUCAUUAAUGUAGCAUAUGUUUCCCGUUAUGGCAGUAUACUUGUAUUAAACUCACAAACGUUGUGUCUGCCAAGUAUAGGUUUAAAAAAAACAAUUUAAGCCAAAUAACAGAGGGGUAAUGAAUAUAUUAUUACCUUUCAGAUUUUUUUUAAAAAAAUCAUUCUCAACUAUUAUUGUUAGAGCCAAUUCUGGUUAAAAAAAAAAUUAAGCACUAUUAAAAAGCAAAUUGCAUUAAUGUUUAAAAACCUAGAUGUCAUUGAAAACAAUUGCUUAGGGAAAUAAUGAAGUUAUUAGCUUUGGGUUUUAAUAGCAUUUUUACAGAGAAGGAAAGUAACAACAGAAGAACUCGUGUUUAUAAAUGUAUAAAUGGUUCAAGAUAAUUUAAAAAAUCAUUUAAUUUUUUAUGCUUGCCUAGUUAUAAGGUCAAAAAUAAUCAAAUGACUGAUGCAGUCAGCACUGCACAACCUCUCUGUGUGGAAAGGGGAUAAUGAGAACAGAUUAUUUGGAAAUAAUAACUUGGUCUAAGAGCCAAGUGCUAAAGUUUCAUUUCUGCCUACCACAGCUAAAGCACUUCUUAUUGUCUCCCACCCAGUUCUCCUUUCCGUCAAUUAUGAAUCUUGUAUAAAUGUGUCCAUUACCAGGCUCACAGACUGGGAGUGAUUUUUCUCCUUUGGAGCUCGUCCAGAAUCCAUCAGCCUCACAUACAUAUUUACCUGCAAAUCAUUGGAAAAGCAAAAAUGUUUAACUGCAUGUAUAAGUUGGUUGUCAUUUGCUUGAAUACCCCCUUGAAAAAUGUUGAUUCUUGAGCAUCUGUGGGAGGUAGAGGUGUCUGACUAACCAUUUUACAUGAUUUCAUAAAUAGGAGGUCUCUGCAUUACCAUGUUUGCUUGCAAAGUGGAAACCUUUUAGAUGUGUAACUUGAAUAUGUAUCAAGAUCUCAAGUGCUUAAUGAUAACGUUUUGACUUGUUAAAUUAAACCAUUUGGAAUAUA